rnacentral:rRNA from 1 species
CAUUAUUGAUUGUGAAUGGGUCAUCUCCUGUGCUGGCUUCUGCAAGUGCACGCUGGUGACUUUCAUCCCAACACCCUUGUGAACCUUUGGCCUCUUGCUAGCCUCGGCUCGCAGAGGAUUAUUACACAAUCUCGAAUGUAAUGAAGACCCUUGAUGUGCGCAAGCACUAAUAUACAACUUUCAACAACGGAUCUCUUGGCUCUCGCAUCGAUGAAGAACGCAGCGAAAUGCGAUAAGUAAUGUGAAUUGCAGAAUUCAGUGAAUCAUCGAAUCUUUGAACGCACCUUGCACCCUUUGGCAUUCCGAAGGGUAUGCUCGUUUGAGUCUCAUUGUACUCUCACACUUCUAAUCUUUUGGAUUGGGAGCGGUGGACUUGGGUGUUGCUGCUUUACCGUGGCUCACCUCAAAUCUGUUAGUGCAACUCUUGGUUGGACAUAGUACGGCGUGAUAAGUAUCUUCGCCGUCACCUCGAAAGAGGGUGGCCAGUUGGGAGCUCUGUGCUUCAAACUGUCUUUGGACAAUAUCUGACAACUUGAGCUCAAAUCGAGUAGGACUACCCGCUGAACUUAAGCAUAUCAAUAAGCGGAGGAA